ACCCGUUGAUCCUGCGGGAGAUUGCUGCUAUUGGGGUUCGAUUUGGCCAUGCAAGUCCAGGGGUCUUUAUGACACCGGCAGACUGCUCAGUAACACGUUGAUAAUCUAACUUUGGGUGGCGAAUAGCCUUGGAAAACUGAGGGUAAUGCGCCAUAGGAAAAUUCGUUUGGAAUCGAGUUUUUUCUUAAAGCUACGGCGCCCAAAGAUGAGUCAGCGGCGGAUUAGGUUGUUGGCGGGGUAAUGGCCUACCAAGCCCAAGAUCCGUACGGGCCGUGAAAGCGGUAGCCCGGAGAAGGACACUGAGAUACUGGUCCUAGCCCUACGGGGUGCAGCAGGCGCGAAACCUUUACAAUGCACGAAAGUGUGAUAAGGGAACCCCAAGUGCUUAGCUUAGCUAGGCUUUUGCCAAGAGUAAAUAUCUCGGCGAAUAAGUGGUGGGUAAGACGGGUGCCAGCCGCCGCGGUAACACCUGCGCCACAAGUGGGAAUCAGCAUUAUUGGGCCUAAAGCGUCCGUAGCCUGUUUAGUUAGUCCCUUGUGAAAUAAUAAGAUUUAAUUUUAUGUUGUGCAGAGGAUACUGCUAGACUCGGAACCGGUAGGGGUACAGAGUAUUUAUGGUGGAGUGGUAAAAUGUGAUAAUUUUAUGAAGAUUAUUAAUGGUGAAGGUAUUGUACCAGGACGGAUUCGACGGUGAGGGACGAAAGCCAGGGGAGCGAUCCGGAUUAGAUAUCCGAGUAGUCCUGGCUGUAAACGCUGUGAGCUAGGUGUCGCGCAUUCUACGUGAAUGUGCGGUGUCGAAACGAAGGUAUUAAGCUCACCGCCUGGGAAGUACGGUCGCAAGACUGAAACUUAAAGGAAUUGGCGGGGGAGCACUACAAGGGGUGCGGCGUGCGGUUUAAUCUAAUUCAAUGUAGAGAAUCUUACCAGAUGCGACGGCAGAAUGAAGGUUAACCUGAAGGGUUUACCAGACGAGCCGAGAGGUAGUGCAUGGCCGCCGUCAGCUCGUGCCGUGAGGUGUCCUGUUAAGUCAGGCAACGAGCGAGACCUGCAUCCAUAAUUGCUAACAGCUUCAUUGAAGGACUGAGCACUUUAUGGGGACUGCCUUGGAAACAAGGAGGAAGGUGCAGGCUACGGUAGGUCUGUAUGCUCCGAAUCUUCUGGGCAACACGCGCGCAACAAUGAUACGAAUAAUAGGUUAUGACACCGAAAGGAGAAGUUAAUUUCCGAAAUCGUAUCUUAGUCUAGAUUGAGGGUUGUAACUCACCCUCAUGACAAUGGAAUCCCUAGUAAUCGGGUGUCAAUAUCGCCCGGUGAAUAUGUCCCUGCUCCUUGCACACACCGCCCGUCAAACCACUCGAGCAGGGUUUAGAUGAGUGUUAGCUUUUUGGUUAAUUCGAAUCUAAGCUCAGUGAGAUGGGUUAAGUCGUCACAAGGUA
rnacentral:rRNA from 1 species